CUAAGUAUAAGCAACUUAUACGGUGAAACUGCGAAUGGCUCAUUAAAUCAGUUAUCGUUUAUUUGAUAGUACCUUGCUACAUGGAUACCUGUGGUAAUUCUAGAGCUAAUACAUGCCUACAACCCCGACUCCGGAAGGGGUGUAUUUAUUAGAUAAAAAACCAAUGCCCUCCGGGGCUCCUUGGUGAAUCAUAAUAACUUCGCGAAUCGCAUGGCCUUGCGCCGGCGAUGGUUCAUUCAAAUUUCUGCCCUAUCAACUUUCGAUGGUAGGAUAGUGGCCUACCAUGGUGGCAACGGGUAACGGGGAAUUAGGGUUCGAUUCCGGAGAGGGAGCCUGAGAAACGGCUACCACAUCCAAGGAAGGCAGCAGGCGCGCAAAUUACCCAAUCCCGACACGGGGAGGUAGUGACAAUAAAUACUGAUAUGGGGCUCUUUGGGGUCUCAUAAUUGGAAUGAGCACAAUCUAAAUCCCUUAACGAGGAACAAUUGGAGGGCAAGUCUGGUGCCAGCAGCCGCGGUAAUUCCAGCUCCAAUAGCGUAUAUUAAAGUUGUUGCAGUUAAAAAGCUCGUAGUUGAACCUUGGGUCUGGCUGGCCGGUCCGCCUCACCGCGUGCACUGGUCCGGCCGGGCCUUUCCUUCUGGGGAGCCCCAUGGCCUUCACUGGCUGUGGGGGGUAACCAGGACUUUUACUGUGAAAAAAUUAGAGUGUUCAAAGCAGGCCUUUGCUCGGAUACAUUAGCAUGGAAUAAUAGAAUAGGACGUGCGGUUCUAUUUUGUUGGUUUCUAGGACCGCCGUAAUGAUUAAUAGGGAUGGUCGGGGGCGUCAGUAUUCGGCUGUCAGAGGUGAAAUUCUUGGAUUUGCCGAAGACUAACUACUGCGAAAGCAUUCGCCAAGGAUGUUUUCAUUAAUCAGUGAACGAAAGUUAGGGGAUCGAAGACGAUCAGAUACCGUCGUAGUCUUAACCAUAAACUAUGCCGACUAGGGAUCGGACGGUGUUUUUAUUUUGAUGACCCGUUCGGCACCUUACGAGAAAUCAAAGUUUUUGGGUUCUGGGGGGAGUAUGGUCGCAAGGCUGAAACUUAAAG
rnacentral:rRNA from 1 species